rnacentral:rRNA from 1 species
CAGCCGCCGCGGUAAUACGUAGGGUGCAAGCGUUAAUCGGAAUUACUGGGCGUAAAGCGUGCGCAGGCGGUUCGGAAAGAAAGAUGUGAAAUUCCAGGGCUCAACCUUGGAACUGCAUUUUUAACUACCGGACUAGAGUGUGUCAGAGGGAGGUGGAAUUCCACGUGUAGCAGUGAAAUGCGUAGAUAUGUGGAGGAACACCGAUGGCGAAGGCAGCCUCCUGGGAUAACACUGACGCUCAUGCACGAAAGCGUGGGGAGCAAACAGGAUUAGAUACCCCUGUAGUCCCUGUCUCUUAUAC